UACCAGCACCCCGAGUGGUCGGGACGAUUAUUGGGCCUAAAGCAUCCGUAGCCGGUUUACAAGUCCUCCGUUAAAUCCAGCUGCUUAACAGAUGGGCUGCGGAGGAUACUAUAAGACUAGGAGGCAGGAGAGGCAAGCGGUACUCAGUGGGUAGGGGUAAAAUCCGUUGAUCCAUUGAAGACCACCAGUGGCGAAGGCGGCUUGCCAGAACGCACUCGACGGUGAGGGAUGAAAGCUGGGGGAGCCAAAC
rnacentral:rRNA from 1 species